UCCAGGAGAGUUUCUAGGAAGCAAGU
rnacentral:piRNA from 1 species